AUUGAACGCUGGCGGCAGGCCUAACACAUGCAAGUCGAAUGGUAACAGGAAACAGCUUGCUGUUUCGCUGACGAGUGGCGGACGGGUGAGUAAUGUCUGGGAAACUGCCUGAUGGAGGGGGAUAACUACUGGAAACGGUAGCUAAUACCGCAUAACGUCGCAAGACCAAAGAGGGGGACCUUCGGGCCUCUUGCCAUCAGAUGUGCCCAGAUGGGAUUAGCUAGUAGGUGGGGUAACGGCUCACCUAGGCGACGAUCCCUAGCUGGUCUGAGAGGAUGACCAGCCACACUGGAACUGAGACACGGUCCAGACUCCUACGGGAGGCAGCAGUGGGGAAUAUUGCACAAUGGGCGCAAGCCUGAUGCAGCCAUGCCGCGUGUAUGAAGCAGGCCUUCGGGUUGUAAAGUACUUUCAGCGGGGAGGAAGGGAGUAAAGUUAAUACCUUUGCUCAUUGACGUUACCUGCAGAAGAAGCACCGGCUAACUCCGUG
rnacentral:rRNA from 1 species